rnacentral:rRNA from 1 species
AUUGAGCGCUGGCGGAAUGCUUUACACAUGCAAGUCGAACGGCAGCACGGACUUCGGUCUGGUGGCGAGUGGCGAACGGGUGAGUAACAUAUCGGAACGUAUCCAAUAAUGGGGGAUAACGAGUCGAAAGAUUCGCUAAUACCGCAUACGCCCUACGGGGGAAAGCUGGGGACCUUCGGGCCUGGCGUUAAUGGAGCGGCCGAUAUCUGAUUAGCUAGUUGGUGAGGUAAAGGCUCACCAAGGCGACGAUCAGUAGCUGGUCUGAGAGGACGACCAGCCACACUGGAACUGAGACACGGUCCAGACUCCUACGGGAGGCAGCAGUGGGGAAUUUUGGACAAUGGACGCAAGUCUGAUCCAGCCAUUCCGCGUGCAGGAUGAAGGCCCUCGGGUUGUAAACUGCUUUUGUACGGAACGAAAAGGUCUCUCUUAAUACGGGGGACUCAUGACGGUACCGUAAGAAUAAGCACCGGCUAACAACGUGCCAGCCGCCGCCGUAA